rnacentral:rRNA from 1 species
AGUGAACGCUGGCGGUAGGCCUAACACAUGCAAGUCGAACGGCAGCACAGUCAGAGCUUGCUCUUACGGGUGGCGAGUGGCGGACGGGUGUGGAAUACAUCGGAAUCUACUUUUUCGUGGGGGAUAACGUAGGGAAACUUGCGCUAAUACCGCAUACGACCUACGGGUGAAAGCAGGGGAUCUUCGGACCUUGCGCGAUUGAAUGAGCCGAUGUCGGAUUAGCUAGUUGGAGGGGUAAAGGCCCACCAAGGCGACGAUCCGUAGCUGGUCUGAGAGGAUGAUCAGCCACACUGGAACUGAGACACGGUCCAGACUCCUACGGGAGGCAGCAGUGGGGAAUAUUGGACAAUGGGCGCAAGCCUGAUCCAGCCAUACCGCGUGGGUGAAGAAGGCCUUCGGGUUGUAAAGCCCUUUUGUUGGGAAAGAAAAGCAGAAGGUUAAUACCCCGCUGUUCUGACGGUACCCAAAGAAUAAGCACCGGCUAACUUCGUG